rnacentral:rRNA from 1 species
UACAGAGGUCUCAAGCGUUGUUCGGAUUCAUUGGGCGUAAAGGGUGCGUAGGCGGCGCGGUAAGUCGGGUGUGAAAUCUCGGAGCUUAACUCCGAAACUGCAUUCGAUACUGCCGUGCUUGAGGACUGGAGAGGAGACUGGAAUUCUCGGUGUAGCGGUGAAAUGCGUAGAUAUCGAGAGGAACACCCGUGGCGAAGGCGGGUCUCUGGACAGUUCCUGACGCUGAGGCACGAAGGCCAGGGGAGCAAACGGG